rnacentral:ncRNA from 1 species
UUAGUCUCGCCCAGUCGUUGCCAAUUCAACGACCGGGUGUGCAAGCCCGUACA